AUCGCUUCUCGGCCUUUUGGCUAAGAUCAAGUGUAGUAUCUGUUCUUAUCAGUUUAAUAUCUGGUACGUCCCCUAUCCGAGGGCCAUAUAUUAAAUGGAUUUUGGUAUUGCAGUACCUCCGGGACCGGUGCAAAAAAAUAAAUAAAAUAAAGGAAUACUAUUCUAAAAAUAUAUUAUAACAU
rnacentral:snRNA from 1 species